rnacentral:rRNA from 1 species
UACGGAGGGUGCAAGCGUUAUCCGGAAUCACUGGGUUUAAAGGGUGCGUAGGCGGUCAUAUAAGUCAGUUGUGAAAUACCCCGGCUUAACCGGAGGAACUGCGAUUGAUACUGUUUGACUUGAAUCAGGUUGAGGUAGGCGGAAUGUGGCAUGUAGCGGUGAAAUGCUUAGAUAUGCCAUAGAACACCGAUUGCGAAGGCAGCUUGCUGGGCCUUGUAUUGACGCUGAGGCACGAAAGCGUGGGGAGCAAACAGG